GGGGUUGUAGCUCAGUUGGCAGAGCGCAUGGAUGGCAUCCAUGAGGUCACCGGUUCGAAUCCGGUCAGCUCCA
rnacentral:tRNA from 1 species